AAAACGAAAAACCCUACCUCGCCUUGACACUUAUAGAACGGACCAGAGAGGGACCGGGGCCCUUUGGGGAACUCAAAAACAGGUGCUGCACGGCUGUCGUCAGCUCGUGUCGUGAGAUGUUGGGUUAAGUCCCGCAACGAGCGCAACCCUUGUCCUUAGUUGCCAGCAGGUUAAGGUGGGCACUCUAAGGAGACUGCCUUUGCAAAGAGGAGGAAGGGGGGGGAGACGUCAAGUCAUCAUGGCCCUUACGGGCAGGGGUACACACGUGCUACAAUGGGGCGGACAGAGAGGUGCCUACCGCGAGGGGGAGCCUAUCUCAUAAAGCGUGUUUCAGUUCGGGAUGGGGUUUGCAAAUUGAAUCCCUGAGGGUGGAAACAGUUGGAA
rnacentral:rRNA from 1 species